rnacentral:ncRNA from 2 species
CCCAUUAGCUCAGUUGGUUAGAG